GCACUGCCGAGUCCCACAAUAGGACGAAACGGCCGUCCAGUGC
rfam:Schistosoma curassoni strain Dakar, Senegal genome assembly, scaffold: SCTD_scaffold0008535